rnacentral:lncRNA from 1 species
CUCCCAUCCGGCCCCAGGGCGGGGUGAUGCCUGACUCUGGCGAAUCCUGACCUUUUGCCCUCCUGCUUGCAGGUGGCACCGAUUCAGCCCUGGUGACCUUUAAGGGCUGCGCCACCCCGGCCAUGUGCCAGAGCUCGCUGCUGGCCCUGGUGCAGGAGCUGGACGGCGCCGAGGUCUAUUGCUGCACCGGGAGCCUCUGUAACACCCGCAUCAUGGACGGGCGGGUGGCCGAGGGGCGGCCCAGCCACCCCUCCCCCACCCACGCCCCCACCCCCAAGCCAGGCUUCAUCCUGGAGGAAGACCAGGAGGAGGAGGACAGGGUCCCCGUUGCUGGGGGCCACCCUCCGUUGGCAGGGAGCCACGGCGACCGGGAGGCGAAGACCACCGAGAGUUCCGAAGGGCGGGGCUUGGAGGAGGGAGGGGCCUUUGUCGCCGGGAACCACGCCGCGUCACCUACAGGCGGACAGGGUGUCACCCCGCGCCCCGGCCAUGGGACCGCAUCUGCCGAAGACCGCAACAACGCCGGCUCCAGGGACAACGCCUUCAGUGCGGGAGGGGUCUUUUCCGAGAGCAACGCCGCGCGGCCGACGGGCGUCCCUCACCCCGAUCCCAGGGCUACAGGCGGCCCCGCUACCAUCGUCCUGGACGGGAGCAGCCGCUCGGAGCCCGACACCAGCAAGACACCGGAGAACGGCCGGGAGAUUCCAGCCGGCAGCGGCCUGGCCCACACAGACGCUGAGGAAGAGGAGUGCGAGGAAGAAACCAGUUACUCUGCCCGGGACCACAUUACCGGUGGCUCCGGCACCGAAAGCCGCACCGGGUCAGCCAGAGAGAGCUUCGUGGCCGAGGGCAGCGCCGCUCACAGCACCGGCGGCUCGACUCCCGGCUCCCCCGGCCACCGGAUCGACACCGUAGUCCACAUCCCCCAUCUCGCCACCAGGCAGAAUGAGAGCUUCUUCUCUGAGGACAAGGAGGGAAGUUCCAGCCAGCCCAGCGCCUCCCCAGCCAGCCCCAGCGGCACCAUCCUGGCCGCCGGAGGAGCCGGAGCCGGGUCCCACCGGGGGAAGAAUAAGACCCUCUGCACCAAGCGCCCGGGAGUGGCUCCGGUCGGCCAAGAGGGCUCCUUGGAGCGCACCGAGGGCGACCGGGACUGGCCAACCAUCUCCUUCCCCAUCACCGUGGAAAUGCCCAACAGCUCCCUGCGAGGUCACCUUGGCAACGCCAGCGCCCCGGGGCUGGACUCAGUGGAGGGGCUGGUGAAGAACACCAGCGACUGGUUGUACGCCAACACCCCGGGGAAGCCACGUCCCCCCUACCCCAGCGGAGCCUUUGGCCUCGGCAGCAACUUUGGCCUCGUCACCCUCACGCUCCUGCUCGCGGUACUGCUGCACUGAGCCCUGCGCGGAACCCAGGAGUCCGGGCUCCCAGCCCCGCUGCUCUAACCCACUAGACCCUGCUGCUCCCUGCCCAGAACCAGGGAGAGAACCCAGGCGCCACCCUAGCACCGAGAGCCUGCCGCCGAGCGGAAGGAAAGCCCUGGCCGGUACCGGAGCAGGACACCUGGGUUCUUUGCGCUUGGCUGAGGGUGCAUCUGUGAAGGUGACCCCAUCGCUCCCUGCUGGCUGGAAUCGAAAAUGCUCCCCCCGUGUGUCAUAGACCCCGUAGUGCUAGUGGCAGAGGGAGAUUUCCCUUAUAGAACAGGGGGCUGGGAGCUCCCGUAGUGGCUGCUGCUCCGAGGGGCCCUAUCCACUCUAUAGGUAGAUACGUAUAGAUUAUCUAGCGCUGUAGACUGCCCUGUACUAGAUCCGUUAACCCUUGAGAUGCUGGAGGGUUUGGGGUUUUUUUGCCUGUUAAAGGCCUGGAUUAGAAGAGGGGGUGCGACUUAACACAACAACAACACAACCCAGCACUGCCAGACCGCACAUCCAUAUGGCCACACGGGCAGACAACAUACAAACGCACAUACACACCCCUGCUCCAAUACACAAAACACACACAUCUGCACUAUCCGAACACACGCACCUCGCAGACACACAAACACAAGUACACACAAGGCAGGCAGCGUGCACACACACACACACACACACACACAGAGUUUAUUUUGCUAUCUAUGAAGUCUCCUAGGGCUUAAAUAUUUAUUCCGGAGGAACUUUACCCUGUCAGACAACAGCCCCUGGGGAUGGGAGGGGGGGGGUCGUCCCCGUUUGCCCCCUGCCCCUUAGCGCCCCAUGCUGGGGGGGGGGAAGGGGGGCGCGGUCUCAUCCCUCAGCUGGUUGGCUGCCGACGGG